UACGAAGGGGGCUAGCGUUGCUCGGAUUUACUGGGCGUAAAGGGCGCGUAGGCGGAUGAUCAAGUUGGGGGUGAAAGCCCGGGGCUCAACCUCGGAACUGCCUUCAAAACUGUUCGUCUUGAGUAUGAGAGAGGUGUGUGGAACUCCGAGUGUAGAGGUGAAAUUCGUAGAUAUUCGGAAGAACACCAGUGGCGAAGGCGACACACUGGCUCAUUACUGACGCUGAGGCGCGAAAGCGUGGGGAGCAAACAGG
rnacentral:rRNA from 1 species